rnacentral:rRNA from 1 species
ACACAUGCAAGUCGAACGAGAAUCACUGGAAGGAGUUUUCGGACAACGGAAGGUGAGGACAGUGGCGGACGGGUGAGUAACGCGUGAGGAACCUGCCUUUCAGAGGGGGACAACAGUUGGAAACGACUGCUAAUACCGCAUGACACAUAGAGAUCGCAUGGUUUUUAUGUCAAAGAUUUAUCGCUGAAAGAUGGCCUCGCGUCUGAUUAGCUAGUUGGUGAGGUAACGGCCCACCAAGGCGACGAUCAGUAGCCGGACUGAGAGGUUGACCGGCCACAUUGGGACUGAGAUACGGCCCAGACUCCUACGGGAGGCAGCAGUGGGGAAUAUUGGGCAAUGGGCGCAAGCCUGACCCAGCAACGCCGCGUGAAGGAAGAAGGCUUUCGGGUUGUAAACUUCUUUUGUCGGGGACGAGUAGAAGACGGUACCUGGCGAAUAAGCCACGGCUAACUACGUGCCAGCAGCCGCGGUAAUACGUAGGUGGCAAGCGUUGUCCGGAUUUACUGGGUGUAAAGGGCGUGUAGCCGGGAAGGCAAGUCAGAUGUGAAAUCCACGGGCUUAACUCGUGAACUGCAUUUGAAACUACUUUUCUUGAGUAUCGGAGAGGCAAUCGGAAUUCCUAGUGUAGCGGUGAAAUGCGUAGAUAUUAGG